CCCUUAGAUGUUCUGGGCUGCACACGUGCUACACUGGCAGGUUCAGCGAGCUUCAUGCCCUGAUCUGAAAGGAAUGGGAAAUCUUUUCAAAACCUGCCGUGCUUGGGAUAGAUGUUUGCAAUUAUUCAUCUUCAACGAGGAUUGCCUUGUAAGCGCACGUCAUCAGCGUGUAUUGAAUACGACCCUGUAUUCUGUACACACCGCCCGUCGCUCCUACCGAUUGAGGUUUUCGGUGAGUUGACAGGAGGAUUUUUUUGAAACUGGUUCGCCAGUGGAUUUUAGAUCCAAAUGCCAACGAAUCGAUGGCUUUAGAGGAAGGAGAAGUCGUAACA
rnacentral:rRNA from 1 species